GAUGACGUCACUGACUUUGUUCGAACAUGGUUCGCCAGAAUCCACUCGCGAGUACACCACAUACUCAACGACGGCCAUGAAAGAGACAACCAUGUAAAUGAGAGGAGAAUUUUGACGAAGAGGGAAAUUAAACCACCUCCAAACUUUGAACUUGUCGAACGGGACUAUCUCAUGUUUCUGUCUAAUCAGUAUCUUGAUCAGUUGUUUGACUAUGCAAAAUAUAUUAACCAUAGUAACGAGACAAGGGCUACCUUAGAUAGAGUUCUUAGUGAAGAAAUAGCAAGGCUUCAGAGAAUGACAACUGAAGAACUCAAAGUUUACUGUGCUAAACUACAAGCAGCAAUGGCCCACGGAAUCAAUCUAAACCAUGAAAUAACGGUCAAUGGGCAGACGUACUCGUUAGAGAGUAUCGCGCAGGUUUGCUGUCCAUGGGGAUAAUCGCGAUGGAAAUUAAAUUCAAUAACGCUUAUAAUAUUUUUAUUAUAUUAUAGACUUUUUGUUUUUACAUGAUUAUAAUAUAUUGUUUUACAUGUAACUUAUUCUGCAGGUAUUGAGGAUACAUUAGAAAAGGGAAUAAAAAAGGGGCGGUUCUAGAAGCGGUUUAAAGGGACCUGACUGAGCCCUGUUUCUAGUGAUUGCAAUUUGUGUUUAGUACGUGUUUAUUUUUUAUUGACGUCCCCUAUAUUAUCGGUGUGCCCUAUAAUUCCUCCACUUGUGUAUUUUAUUGCAAUUUAAUAAAGAAAAAAACAAAAUCAUCUGAGAUUGCUACCUAUUUCUCUGUACAUUGACACUCUGUGUGUGUGUGUGAGUCCGUGCAACUGUAAUUGUGUUAAGUUGUGUAAAUGAGCACUCUUGCUUUGUGCUUAUUACCAAUUUCUCCCGAGUAUUGUUCUCUUGACUAAGAAUAUUGAUUCGUUUUACCCUAAAUGCAAUUCUCUUUAUUUGAAGCAAAUUAUAAAUUACUAGUUCCUGACAUUUUCAAAAUAAUAGUUGGCUAAUUUAAUUUAGUUUCAAACUGGAAACUCUAUACUAAAAUGUGUCACAAAAGAGCCGAUUUUCCCUUCUCUAUUUUUCUUUCUUUUCCUUUUUUUGUACGUUGAUGUCCAUUUGACCCCUUCUUAUACGGUGUUAGGCUUUCCUUGCGUAGUGGCAUUUAGAUUUCAAUGAACGUAUAGUUGGACAGUAAGGGAAUUCUUAAAAAAAAUGUUAGACCUUUUAUCAAAAUCUUUCAAAUACCCCCAGAUUCAAAUUUGAACUUUGGCUUAACCUGUAAAAUAUUUGUUACAAACGGGAUAUCAAAUUCCAAUUUUUACGCCGAUGUUAAUUAUUUAUAGAGCCCGUCAAUUAAGAAAUGAUCAACCUUACUUCAUUGGACAUUUGCAUAAACUUAUCGUUAAAGGUUGUGCACUUAAUGCCUUAUUAUAAUCUUUAAAAAAGGUUUCAUAAUCGGUUC
rnacentral:lncRNA from 1 species